rnacentral:rRNA from 1 species
AACGAACGCUGGCGGCGUGCCUAAUACAUGCAAGUCGAACGGUCCCGGCCCUUCGGGGUUUGGGAUAGUGGCGAACGGGUGAGUAACGCGUGGGUGACCUGCCCCGAAGCGGGGGAUAACAGCCUGAAAGGGUUGCUAAUACCCCAUGUGCUGGGUUGGCUUAGCGGCCGGCCCAGGAAAGGCGAAAGCCACUUUGGGAGGGGCCUGCGUCCCAUCAGCUAGUUGGUGUGGUAACGGCGCACCAAGGCGAUGACGGGUAGGGGACCUGAGAGGGUGGCCCCCCACAAUGGAACUGAAACACGGUCCAUACACCUACGGGUGGCAGCAGUAGGGAAUAUUGCAAAAUGGGCGCAAGCCUGAUGCAGCAACGCCGCGUGGGCGAUGAAGGCCUUGGGUCGUAAAGCCCUUUUGGGAGGGACGAGGAAGGACGGUACCUCCCGAAUAAGCCUCGGCUAACUACGUG